AUUCUGGUGACUGCAGCUACGGAAUGACAGCGACCGACAGAUCGUGCUGCGUAGGAUAAGCAAACUUUUCUGAUGGCGGAUCCCAGCUGUAGAUUGUUUAUCAGCAGUGUUUUUGUAGGGCUAAAUAAAUAUUUAAUAUUUAAACGACAGGGAUCCUUGGAGCCUUGAGGAACAUCAGGCCCCAGCACUAAAUAACCGUGUCAGUGCCACCGACAGCGGGCCCUGCCCCGACCUGGGACAGACAGACUGCCCUGCAGGCACCGGGUGUAUGCGGAUGUCUUGUCGCUGGACAGCCGGGACGGACGGACGGACGGACAGCCGGACAGCAGGGCAGCGGGCAGCUCGUGUCCCAGCACUCACAGGCUGGCUGCAGCACGUCCUGCUUCUGCUGCCAGGAACGGGGAGAAAGGCCGAAGCACAAACACUUGCAGCAGCAGUAACACUGAAGUGCGAUUUUUAAAUCUCUUUUUAAAUCACUUUAAGAGUGCAGCUACUUAAAGUUGAUAUAUCCAAGCAUUUAACUCUCAUUAACGUUCAUUCAGAUGCUGUAAGAAAAGCAGACAAAUUUUGAAUAUGCAAAAAGGCCCAGACCUGGCUUAUUUGUUACACAGCCGUUUUGCAUUGCGGUGCCGCAGCAAACUGGUCUCAAGGCUGGCAAAGCAAGCAGACGGGCGAGCAUUCCCAUAGAACUAUUUGGCCUGCUGUAUGCAGGACUAUUUUAUUUGGUCAGUCGUGUGCAUUGUCAGUGUUUCUCUGUUGGUGUUACUAUUAUGCACUAUUAGAGCUAUCUGUCCUAGUUGUCUGCAGCUGGUGUAAAAUAAUCUUCAGAUUGUUUUUAUCGCACCACAGGCUUCAGAUAAACCAUAACAGUGUGCAGAAUUAACAAAGAUUAAGAGGGAAGAAUAUUAGAGGAGAGGAACAAGAUGAAAAUAUUUAACUGUCAUUAUCCUCAGAUGCGACACACUUCUGUGAGAAUAUGGGUAAAAAACAUGAAGAACUGAAAGCCAUGUUUAUAAUAUUAAUAAGCGUUAAAAAAAUCAACAAGAACAUGUCAAAAAUAAAUCAUGGGAUCUUGGCUUCAGCGAGGAUUCCCAUGCUAUAUCAUCUACCUUUCUCAUAAGAAGGCUAGAGGAAUGUGGGCUAUGUGAAACUUACAUGAAAUGGUUACAAAAUGGCACUCAGAAGUAACUCCAAGUGAUUCACAUUCAAAACCAAAAGUUUGUAGCAAGUGAGAUUUCCAAAUAUUUAUGUCCUGAAUCCCAAAGUGCCUAAUUUUACUUGGUGCAAUAUGACAGAGAAUAUUUUUAUUAUCUUUGUGAAGGAUAUCCUGUUCAGGUGAGAGCUGCAAGUAUUUUGGAAGACAGAACUGAACAAAUCAUGACAAGUUGAAACAAAGUUCUAAAGUAAAUAGGAUGUAAUUCCAUGAAGCAAGAAACUUAAGUAAAGCUGGGAAUAACUGACUGCAAAACUGUAAGCUGGAGACAAACUGGCUAAGCAGUUACUUUACAAAAAGAAGUCUUGGUUCAGAGCAGUUCACAAAAGAAAAUGAGUCAACAGUGAUUCAGUGUUGUAAAAAAAAUGUGACGACUUUACUGGAAUGUAGAAAAAGACUGUCAAGCACAAGAAAAGUGAAGUAAUGUUUCCACUCCACUGAGCUCAAAAAGGCUUUUGGUGAAGAAAACUUCUCUGUUUUGGGCACCUCCUUCAAUCAGGGAGAGUUCUGCGGAGAAUGUGAUAAGCUACCAGAAGUCUGGAAAACCCAAGCGUGACUGAAAGAAGUUCAGAUAGAUACCUGAAAAGCCAGCAAAGACAGCCUGGGCAAUCUGAGAAUUUGAAAUGAAGAAAGCAGUUUGUUUAUGAGAAAAGUGAAUACAAACACCAGCCCAACUGUUUAGUAAUGGAAAUAACUUUUUGCUGCAUAAUAAAUUCUCAAGCUAAAGCA